rnacentral:rRNA from 1 species
CCUACGGGGUGCAGCAGUGAGGAAUAUUGGUCAAUGGACGAGCGUCUGAACCAGCCAAGUAGCGUGAAGGAUGACUGCCCUAUGGGUUGUAAACUUCUUUUAUAUGGGAAUAAAAUGUUCCACGUGUGGGAUUUUGUAUGUACCAUAUGAAUAAGGAUCGGCUAACUCCGUGCCAGCAGCCGCGGUAAUACGGAGGAUCCGAGCGUUAUCCGGAUUUAUUGGGUUUAAAGGGAGCGUAGGUGGAUUGUUAAGUCAGUUGUGAAAGUUUGCGGCUCAACCGUAAAAUUGCAGUUGAAACUGGCAGUCUUGAGUACAGUAGAGGUGGGCGGAAUUCGUGGUGUAGCGGUGAAAUGCUUAGAUAUCACGAAGAACUCCGAUUGCGAAGGCAGUUCACUGGACUGCAACUGACACUGAGGCUCGAAAGUGUGGGUAUCAAACAGGAUUAGAUACCCUUGUAGUC